rnacentral:lncRNA from 10 species
CCGGGCGUCAUUGCUUUUCUUAAUACAGUUUGCAGUGUUCUUGGUGACCAGGUCUAGCUUCCUGUUCAGCCCUCUUCUCUCAGCACUCAACCGUGUGUCUCUCCUUUAUCUUCCACUCAUAGGAAACAACAUUAUUCCCCCUAAAUAGGCCCUGUCUCUUUAAUCUCUAGGCUUUUGUACAUACUGUUUCCUUUGCUUGGACGUUCUUCAUCUGCGUAAUGCCUGUUCAUCUAUAAGGUCUCAAUUUCAAUGAUGCUGCUUCCUUGCAAGUCUGCCUCUCGUCUACAUUUAUAACAGCCUGUGCUUAACAGCCCAUGAACGUACCAAGCCUUAUAAAUGCAUCAUGCAGUUACUUGCCCAUUUCCUAGAUUACAGACUCUUCAGGGCCUACAAAAUGGUGGAAAGGAUAUUUAUUCAAUCGUAUUGAAUUUUGAGGGCUGGAACAAAGACAUGAUUAUAAAUGUAUGAAAGGCAAAUAAACCUUGGGACACCAAAAAUCACUGAGCUAAAGGGAAAAUCAAGCUGGGAACUGCUUAGGACAAACCUGCUUCCGUUUCUUUUCAAAGUCAUCCCUCUGCUCACUGAGAUAAAUGCAUAUCUAAUUGCUUCCUUUGGAAAGGCUAAUUAGAACCUCAAGAUAAUGCAAACACUUUUGUCUUAUUUACCCUAUGCCGUCCUGCCUUUGUUUUGAGUUGUCCCACCUUUCUGGACCUAACCAAGGUUCAUCUUACAUAUGUUGAUUGAUGUCUGACAUCUCCCUAAAAUCUGUAAAACCAAGCUGUGCACUGACCACCUUGGGCACAUAUUGUCAGAACCUCCUGAGGCUGUGUCAUAGGCAUGUGUCCUUAGUCUUGGC